rnacentral:rRNA from 1 species
CUACGUGCCAGCAGCCGCGGUAAUACGGAGGAUGCGAGCGUUAUCCGGAUUUAUUGGGUUUAAAGGGUGCGUAGGCGGCCUGUUAAGUCAGCGGUGAAAUCUAGGAGCUUAACUCCUAAAUUGCCAUUGAAACUGGCGGGCUUGAGUGUAGAUGAGGUAGGCGGAAUGCGUGGUGUAGCGGUGGAAUGCAUAGAUAUCACGCAGAACUCCAAUUGCGAAGGCAGCUUACUAAGGUACAACUGACGCUGAAGCACGAAAGCGUGGGUAUCAAACAGGAUUAGAUACCCUGGUAGUCCACACAGUAAACGAUGUAUACUCGCGGUUUGCGAUAGACAGUAAGCCGCCAAGCGAAAGCAUUAAGUAUACCACCUGGGGAGUACGCCGGCAACGGUGAAACUCAAAGGAAUUGACGGGGGCCCGCACAAGCGGAGGAACAUGUGGUUUAAUUCGAUGAUACGCGAGGAACCUUACCCGGGCUUGAAUUGCAGAGGAAGGAUUUAGAGAUAAUGACG